rnacentral:ncRNA from 2 species
UUUUCAUCAAGAGUGGUGGAGGGACAGGCCCGAUGAAACCCGGCAACCUGCAUGUCAAGUGCGAGGUGCCAAUUCCUGCAGAAUCCAAUCUGUUGAUUCUGGGAGAUGAAUG